rnacentral:rRNA from 1 species
GGGGGCCCGCAAGCGGUGGAGCAUGUGGUUUAAUUCGAAGCAACGCGAAGAACCUUACCAGGUCUUGACAUCCCGCUGCCCGCCUUAGAGAUAAGGCUUUCCCUUCGGGGACAGCGGUGACAGGUGGUGCAUGGUUGUCGUCAGCUCGUGUCGUGAGAUGUUGGGUUAAGUCCCGCAACGAGCGCAACCCUUGAUCUUAGUUGCCAGCAUUCAGUUGGGCACUCUAAGGUGACUGCCGGUGACAAACCGGAGGAAGGUGGGGAUGACGUCAAAUCAUCAUGCCCCUUAUGACCUGGGCUACACACGUGCUACAAUGGACGGUACAAAGGGCAGCCAACCCGCGAGGGGGAGCCAAUCCCAAAAAACCGUUCUCAGUUCGGAUUGCAGGCUGCAACUCGCCUGCAUGAAGCCGGAAUCGCUAGUAAUCGUGGAUCAGCAUGCCACGGUGAAUACGUUCCCGGGCCUUGUACACACC